GAUGAACGCUAGCGACAGGCCUAACACAUGCAAGUCGAGGGGCAGCGGGGAGUGGCAACACUCCGCCGGCGACCGGCGCACGGGUGAGUAACGCGUAUGCAACCUGCCCGCACCAGGGGGAUAACCGGGAGAAAUCCCGUCUAAUACCCGCGUAACGACCUUCGUGGGGCGAUCCCCACUGAGGCCGAAACGGGUUUACCGGGGUACGGCGGAGUGGGCGAUGCGUGACAUUAGCUAGUUGGCGGGGUAACGGCCCACCAAGGCGACGAUGUCUAGGGGUUCUGAGAGGAAGGUCCCCCACCAUUGGUACUGAGACACGGACCAAACUACCUACGGGAGGCAGCAGUGAGGAAUAUU
rnacentral:rRNA from 1 species